AACGAACGCUGGCGGCAUGCCUAACACAUGCAAGUCGAACGGGUGGUAGCAAUACCACCAGUGGCAGACGGGUGCGUAACACGUGGGAACCUGCCCAGAGGUUCGGAAUAGCUGCGGGAAACUGCAGGUAAUACCGAAUGUUGCCUGAGGGCUAAAGGAGCAAUCCGCCUUCGGAGGGGCCCGCGUCCGAUUAGCUAGUUGGUGAGGUAACGGCUCACCAAGGCGACGANCGGUAGCUGGUCUGAGAGGAUGACCAGCCACACUGGAACUGAGACACGGUCCAGACUCCUACGGGAGGCAGCAGUGGGGAAUAUUGGACAAUGGGGGAAACCCUGAUCCAGCAAUGCCGCGUGGGUGAUGAAGG
rnacentral:rRNA from 1 species